GAUGAACGCUGGCGGCGUGCCUAAUACAUGCAAGUCGAGCGAACAGAUGAGGAGCUUGCACCUCUGACGUUAGCGGCGGACGGGUGAGUAACACGUGGAUAACCUACCUAUAAGACUGGGAUAACUUCGGGAAACCGGAGCUAAUACCGGAUAAUAUAUUGAACCGCAUGGUUCAAUAGUGAAAGACGGUUUUGCUGUCACUUAUAGAUGGAUCCGCGCCGCAUUAGCUAGUUGGUAAGGUAACGGCUUACCAAGGCAACGAUGCGUAGCCGACCUGAGAGGGUGAUCGGCCACACUGGAACUGAGACACGGUCCAGACUCCUACGGGAGGCAGCAGUAGGGAAUCUUCCGCAAAGGGCGAAAGCCUGACGGAGCAACGCCGCGUGAGUGAUGAAGGUCUUCGGAUCGUAAAACUCUGUUAUUAGGGAAGAACAAAUGUGUAAGUAACUAUGCACGUCUUGACGGUACCUAAUCAGAAAGCCACGGCUAACUACGUG
rnacentral:rRNA from 1 species